AGCGAACGCUGGCGGCAGGCCUGACACAUGCAAGUCGAACGGACCCUUCGGGGUUAGUGGCGGACGGGUGAGUAACACAUGGGAACGUGCCUUUAGGUUCGGAAUAGCUCCUGGAAACGGGUGGUAAUGCCGAAUGUGCCCUUCGGGGGAAAGAUUUAUCGCCUUUAGAGCGGCCCGCGUCUGAUUAGCUAGUUGGUGAGGUAAUGGCUCACCAAGGCGACGAUCAGUAGCUGGUCUGAGAGGAUGACCAGCCACAUUGGGACUGAGACACGGCCCAAACUCCAGCGGGAGGCAGCAGUGGGGAAUCUUGCGGAAUGGGCGAAAGCCUGACGCAGCGAUGCCGCGUGAAUGAUGAAGGUCUUAGGAUUGUAAAAUUCUUUCACCGGGGACGAUAAUGACGGUACCCGGAGAAGAAGCCCCGGCUAACUUCGUGCCAGCCGCCGCCGUAAUAC
rnacentral:rRNA from 1 species